rnacentral:tRNA from 1 species
CCUGGUGGCUCAGAGGUUAAAGCAUCUGCCUGCAAUGCAGGAGACCAGGGUUCGACCCCUGGAUCAGGA